rnacentral:rRNA from 1 species
AGCGUUGUCCGGAUUUACUGGGUGUAAAGGGCGGGUAGGCGGAUUUGCAAGUCAGAUGUGAAAGCCCGGGGCUUAACCCCGGAAUUGCAUUUGAAACUGUAGAUCUUGAGUGAUGGGGAGGCAGGCGGAAUUCCCGGUGUAGCGGUGGAAUGCGUAGAUAUCGGGAGGAACACCAGUGGCGAAGGCGGCCUGCUGGACAUUAACUGACGCUGAGGAGCGAAAGCGUGGGGAGCAAACAGGAUUAGAUACCCUGGUAGUCCACGCUGUAAACGAUGGAUACUAGGUGUGGGAGGUAUUGACCCCUUCCGUGCCGGAGUUAACACAAUAAGUAUCCCACCUGGGGAGUACGGCCGCAAGG